rnacentral:rRNA from 1 species
AUUGAACGCUGGCGGCAUGCCUUACACAUGCAAGUCGAACGGCAGCACGGGAGCAAUCCUGGUGGCGAGUGGCGAACGGGUGAGUAAUACAUCGGAACGCGCCCAAUCGUGGGGGAUAACGCAGCGAAAGCUGUGCUAAUACCGCAUACGAUCUACGGAUGAAAGCAGGGGAUCGCAAGACCUUGCGCGAAUGGAGCGGCCGAUGGCAGAUUAGGUAGUUGGUGAGGUAAAGGCUCACCAAGCCGUCGAUCUGUAGCUGGUCUGAGAGGACGACCAGCCACACUGGGACUGAGACACGGCCCAGACUCCUACGGGAGGCAGCAGUGGGGAAUUUUGGACAAUGGGCGAAAGCCUGAUCCAGCCAUGCCGCGUGCAGGAUGAAGGCCUUCGGGUUGUAAACUGCUUUUGUACGGAACGAAACGGCCUUUUCUAAUAAAGAGGGCUAAUGACGGUACCGUAAGAAUAAGCACCGGCUAACUACGUGCCAGCAGCCGCGGUAAUACGUAGGGUGCAAGCGUUAAUCGGAAUUACUGGGCGUAAAGCGUGCGCAGGCGGUUAUGUAAGACAGUUGUGAGAUUCCCGGGCUCAACCUGGGAACUGCAUCUGUGACUGCAUAGCUAGAGUACGGUAGAGGGGGAUGGAAUUCCGCGUGUAGCAGUGAAAUGCGUAGAUAUGCGGAGGAACACCGAUGGCGAAGGCAAUCCCCUGGACCUGUACUGACGCUCAUGCACGAAAGCGUGGGGAGCAAACAGG